UGGGUUUGACAUCAUGGGAAAAGCCGUAGAGAUACGGUGUCCGAAAGGGCCCAUGACAGGUGGUGCAUGGCUGUCGUCAGCUCGUGUCGUGAGAUGUUGGGUUAAGUCCCGCAACGAGCGCAACCCUUGUCUUAUGUUACCAGCGGGUUAUGCCGGGGACUCAUAAGAGACUGCCGGGGACAACUCGGAGGAAGGUGGGGAUGACGUAUAGGAGCUCGAC
rnacentral:misc_RNA from 1 species